rnacentral:rRNA from 1 species
UACGGGGGGUGCGAGCGUUGUCCGGAAUCACUGGGCGUAAAGAGCGCGCAGGCGGUCGUAUAAGUCGAAUGUGAAAGCCCCCGGCUCAACUGGGGAGGGUCAUUCGAUACUGUUCGACUCGAAGGCAGGAGAGGGAAGUGGAAUUCCGGGUGUAGUGGUGAAAUGCGUAGAUAUCCGGAGGAACACCAGUGGCGAAGGCGACUUUCUGGCCUGUUCUUGACGCUGAGGCGCGAAAGCUAGGGGAGCAAACAGG